UACAGAGGGUGCGAGCGUUGUUCGGAAGUACUAGGCGUAAAGCGCGCGCAGGCGGCCCUUUAAGUCCAUCGGUCAAAUGCCGGAGCUCAACUCCGUGCGUGCCGAGGAUACUGGAGGGCUGGAGACACGUAGAGGCAAGCGGAAUUCCGGGUGUAGCGGUGGAAUGCGUAGAGAUCCGGAAGAACACCGGAGGCGAAGGCGGCUUGCUGGGCGUGAUCUGACGCUGCGGCGCGAAAGCGUGGGGAGCGAACAGG
rnacentral:rRNA from 1 species